rnacentral:sRNA from 1 species
CAUCUGAUCAAUUUGUUACACGGGUAUCUAUAUAGAUCCUUGAACUCCUUUUCUCUUUUCCUUUACUUCGGCGAUCGAAUAACGCAAUUAUAGAAACCCAUCGAAGAGUUCCUGAUUAUUAUUCUAACAAAUUAUGUUUAAUUUGAAGUUUUCCAUCAUGCUGCCCCAUAACUAUUCCUCCAAUCUCACUUGACCAGUAGGUCUGGAUCGGAUCACAACUACGCCUCUUUCUGAUUUUCUGAUUUUUUUUAAACCUUUUUCAAAUUAUUUUUCAU